rnacentral:rRNA from 1 species
UGGGGAAUAUUGGACAAUGGGCGCAAGCCUGAUCCAGCCAUGCCGCGAGAGUGAUGAAGGCCUUAGGGUUGUAAAGCUCUUUCGGCGGGGAAGAUAAUGACGGUACCCGCAGAAGAAGCCCCGGCUAACUUCGUGCCAGCAGCCGCGGUAAUACGAAGGGGGUUAGCGUUGCUCGGAAUCACUGGGCGUAAAGCGCACGUAGGCGGAUUGUUAAGUCAGGGGUGAAAUCCUGGAGCUCAACUCCAGAACUGCCUUUGAUACUGGCGAUCUUGAGUCCGGGAGAGGUGAGUUGAAUUGCGAGUGUAGAGGUGAAAUUCGUAGAUAUUCGCAAGAACACCAGUGGCGAAGGCGGCUCACUGGCCCGGUACUGACGCUGAGGUGCGAAAGCGUGGGGAGCAAACA